GACGAACGCUGGCGGCGUGCUUAACACAUGCAAGUCGAGCGGUAAGGCCUCUUCGGGGGUACACGAGCGGCGAACGGGUGAGUAACACGUGGGCGACCUGCCCUCAGCUCUGGGAUAAGCCUGGGAAACUGGGUCUAAUACCGGAUAUGACCUCUUGUUGCAUGACUUGGGGUGGAAAGCCUGGUCUUGAUUGAUUCGGCGGUUGGGGAUGGGCCCGCGGCCUAUCAGCUUGUUGGUGGGGUGAUGGCCUACCAAGGCGA
rnacentral:rRNA from 1 species